rnacentral:lncRNA from 1 species
GUAUAAAAAUAACUUAAAAUAAGUAUAAUUUGGGAAAUUUUCAAACUAGUGGGUUUAAUAUAGCUUGUUGGAAUUAGGGAAACUACCGUGUUUAAUAAUUAACUUAACUUAUGGGUUUAAAUUAGGAAAACUACUAUAUUUAAAUAUUUAAUGAUUAACUUUACUUGUGGAUUUUAAUUAGGAAAACUAGUAUAUUUAAUAAUUAAUAUAGCUUGUUAGACUUUUGAAAGUUUAAGCUUGUGGGUUUUUUAUUUUUUAAAUAAUUUAGGCCCGAUCUUUUAUUUUUUUUGACAAUAACAUGCGCCACCCCCCCACAUUUUGGCCGCAUUAUGUGACACAGUGUUCUAGUUCGUAGUUAGUACUCACUGCUCAGAAUCUUCAAUUCUUCUCCUCUAUUCUUCAUGGGCCUAAUUGAACUGAAGAAUAAAAUCUCCUGAAUAUUCCUAUUAUAAGAAAUCACCGAGAGCUGAAGAUGAAAUCACUUCUGAGGAGUGAGGAGUAGGUUGAAUACAAUACAAUAAGAUUUAUUAAUGAACUUGUAGAUAUUUUGGUUGAAGAGAACAUGUCUGUUUUUAUCUCCUUUAUUUAUAAACGGAGAAAGUAGAAAGAUCCAUUGUGACAGAUUGUGAUUCGAUGUGGGGAAUCCUCGUUGUCACUGUUUUUAUACAUGAAUUUUGUGAAAUUCUUGUCUUUAAAUUGUAAUAUCCAAUUUAAAUAUCUAAUUUAAAUAUCCAAUUUUUAUCUAACAGUAGUUGAAACAGCAAACAUGAAUGAUGUUGAGUCCAAGCUUUUUCAUGCGACGCCUAGGCGACCAUGCGUUGGAGCGGGUUAGGCGGGUCCGGGUCGGAUCUGACCCGAACCCGCCUAACCCAAUAGGUCUGUUUUAUUUUAAUUUUUUUUAAAAUUUAAAUAUAAGGCCCAACCACCCAUUUAAGGCCCAUUUAAAUGAUUUAAGUCAUUUAAAUAAGAGGUUGAGGGUUUUAAAAAACCCUAACCUCUUUUCUUUCUUGUUUCUUGCACCUUUCUAACCUUAAAUUCAUAGAAGUCUUAUAAUCUAUGUAUUUACAUUUUAGAUUAAUAGGUCUAUUACUUUGUAUUAGUAAUUUCAGGUUUUAAAAUUUAUGUAUAUAUUUUUUUAAAUGUUUCUGAAUUUACCCAUAUUUUUUAGCAAAUAUAUAUAAGUUCAGGGUAAAUCUACCCUAUUUUCAGGCGACCGCCUAGGCGCCGCCUGAAGCGCCUAGGCGGCCAUGCGGUCAUGGCAAUCGCAUGACCGCAUGGUCGCCUAAAAAACCUUGGUUGAGUCGAAUCGAAAUUGAAUCUGGAAUUGAACUUGGGUUUACAAAUUAUAAUAGAAUUUGAAUCGAACGUUACAAGGAAAUACACAUUCUACUCUACUACAAUUAACAAAGAGAAGAGUUUGAAUUAAAAAUCGGAACGAAAUGAUUUGAACAGAAUGAUUACAAAAUGUCGAAAACUGGAAAUAUACCUGAAAAUUAGGAACAAGAACGACCUAUCUGUAGUGUUUGGAUAAAUGGGAUGGAGGGGUUCCCUUGAACCUCCAAGUAGUAGUAACAUAGAAAUGUAGGGUGUAAGCAGUAGAAGAGGUGUUGUAAGCCUAAAGGGGUUAGUCAUGUACUUUUGUGACAGGGUGACUAUCCACAGUUGAGGAUAGCUUACCUAUUUUUGAAAUAUAUUUACCAUAUUAUUUCAAAAAAAGAGAGGAACAAAAACGACGUUUGUCAGAGAUGCAAUCGUUAAACAACAAAUCCGAAGAACUAACAGAAUGAGAAACUUAUUGGAAAUGUGAAGUGAAAAUUGAUUGAGUUGUUGAUGACCGCCCGCUUUCCUUAUAGUUCUUCUCGACUUGAGCACCUGCAUUAACUAAUUUCUGAUCUGUACCUGAUUAGUGUUGGAUCCAGAAUAUCUGAUCAGUGUUCUCUUCACUUCUCACAAAUUUGCACUGUUUUUCAUGAGAUUUAGGGAUUGCUAAUGUGAUGAUGCAACAUCACACUGCUUUUGGUGCACAUACAGUUGUGCACUUGUGCCAACUGCAAAACCACAGAGUUUUGUUUAUGUAUAAAUUCAAACCAUUUUUAUUCUAUUGUAUUGUUUUAUCUACACAGUUCGAAAAUCCAAACUGGAUAAUGGUAAUUGAUCGAUAGAUCUUUGAAAUGGACAUUAAUUUAGAUGGGUCGUGUUCAUAAUCUGAUCGAUAUGAUUUGUGUUUAUUUACGGAUUCCCGUAAUUUCAGGAGAAGGGAUUUGUUGGAACAGGUGACAGUCAUGUAAAUUUCUCUCCACAAAACAAGUCAGAUGAAUUUGAUGAAAGAAAAUCCUCCAAACUGUGUAAUUUUCAACUUUUUGAAGACGAAAAAGAUGAAAAAGUUCCGCAACAAAAGUUUGAGGGGGAUGAUUAUAACAAAGAGACGUCAUUUAUUGUAAACGAUUCCAUCAGAAGGAUGAGCUCGUUGAGGAACGUCAAAGGAGGAUACUCGGAAGACAAACUCUCUAUUCACGGCUCGUGUAUUGCCGCGGCUAAUAUUUGUAGAUCGUUGGAAGAAAAUUGUAAUGAUAAAGGCGGAUGGAUAUCUACAAAAAAUACGAGAGACUUACCAGGAAACGAAAAAGAGUCGAGGAAAGAAACUUGUAGAACAAAAACACUGGACAUUGUUGAAUCGGAUCUGAAAAGAAGCAGCAGUUUAGGAAAAAGAGAUGCACAGAUAGAAGACCAUAAUAGUAAUGUCGCCCCUAGCAAAUGGUUUUGUCCUAGCAAGAAAAAAUUAAACUUGGGUCCUCCAAUGAAACAACUUCGGCUAGAGCGUUGGAUUAAGCGUGUGACUUAGAACGGUUAGAAAGAAGCAUUUGGCUGAGGCCUUGAGGAUUAAAUAAAGACGAUUAUGAAUUCUAGCUAGGCUGUUGUGUAAUAUUGAAUCGGAUCCACAACAACUUGGUCGGUUGACAAGUCGGCCAGGGUGUCGUCGGUUGGUAAAAUUUAACAAAUAUGAAUCUCGUAG